GUUGCUUUGCUUGUUGAGCACUCCCAUUUUUGGACUAGUAGAUUGCGUUGCUGUGUCGGUGCCAAUUUUAUUUUCUGAUGGAAUUGCCUAUUAGGAAAGAAUGAACAUUUAACGUCGUUGAUGUUAAUGAGAUAACAUACUGCCUAUCUUAUAUUUCUUGUGGUGAUUUAGCAAUCAUGUUUAUUAACAUGAAACACUAAUCAACACACACGUCUUUAAAAUUAAGCAGACAAGCAAAAACUAGUACCUUGUUGACAUGAUAAAUAUUGUAUAAAAGACUCUUGAAACUAAAGAUGAUUAGAUAGACGAAAUCACAUCAAUAAAUCAUCUCACCAAUGUUUCUUCUUAGGUUGCAUUACUGCACGAAUCAAAGCAAUUUGUGUCUGAUUGGAAUUUGAAAAGUCCUUGUUCAUUGCGCCUUUGGAAUUGGAGCUAGGCAUUUGGAUUUCACAGUAAUCAAUUUUCACUUCCCCAUGGCACAAGACAUACAGCCCAAAGUCUGUCAAUAUGGAAUCGAAGAGGCCGCAAGCUCAGACGGUGCUUUCUUUUGUGUAUGGAUCUCCAUAUGACGGUUGCAAAUAAAAUCUCUGUGGGAAGUCCGGUACAA